GGCCGCCUGGCGAAAUGGCAUCGCGUCUGACUACGACUUGUUUGUGAUCAGGAGAUUGCAGGUUCGACCCCUGCGGUGGUCA
rnacentral:tRNA from 1 species